GAGAAGUUUCCGACCGCCGAUCGAGGUAAAUUUUCUCUCCCUAGCUCGUUUUUCGAUGCUGAGUCCGUAAAUGGCCAAACCGGAGUCAAACCACCGGCCAAACGGCUGAAAAACCCAGCCGAAGUCCAGCGGCGCUGCCACACCCCCCUCUAUUUUUGCCUCCGAUGAGGCCCUUCCCGGCCUCCGUUCGAUGCAAAUUUUAUACCACUGUGAUCACUGUUCUUUUCUCUACAGGUUGAUCGGAGCCAAACAUCAAAACGCGACUCACGCUGGAGGAGCCGCCGCACCCGAGAGCAUCGCCCCCGGUAAGUUUCGAUUUUUCGUGAUUUUUUUGCCCACCGAGGUCCCUAGGGUUUUUUUAUCGCAGGGACCGAUGCAAGUGUGGCCGAAUUCGAUCGAAAAUGGUUGAAAACGGCCAACCCGAGGUGAAUCACCACUGUAAGCGGCGGCGCCGUCGCCGGAACACGGCGGAGCCGCCGUGCCAGAAUUCUGAUAUUAGCCAAAAGGGGACCUAGGUCUGAUUUGAGAUUUUUUAGGACACGUGCAG
rnacentral:lncRNA from 1 species